UUAUGAUUCAACUUUUCACUAAGGAACAUAACACAUGGAGUGCUGGAAGCAGUGGAGUGAGCUGGGCAUGUGGCUAUCCGCCAGGCUUCCAAGGUGCAUGGUGUACCUCGGCAGACACUGGCGGACAGGCUGAGCGGUCGGGUGACUCAUGGUUGUCACAAAAAAGGAGCACAGUUCUGGUGCAGAACUGUGUCUACAGCGCCAGCCAUGGGUUCCCCUUCACCAGACAGAGGCUGAUGAAAUAUGCUGACAAAAUACGCAGGUUUAGGCACCCAGGGGAAACAAUCCCACCACUGGGGAAGAGGUGGUGGGAAAUGUUUAGGAGGAGGCACAAGAACCUGAGCAUGAGGAGGCCGGACACCCUGGACAGGGGGAGAGCUGAGUAUGCCACACGUCCAACGAUGGACACCUUCUUCACUUAUGAGAAUCACUUGGAGGAGAGUGGGUUGAGGGAGAAACCCAGACAAAUCUAUAACUGCGAUGAGUCUGGAUUUUGUAGUGACCAGAGCAGGCACAAGUACUGGUUCCCCAGGGAGCAAAACACGUGUACCUGCAGGCUCCGGGGACCAAGGAGCACAUCACAGUGCUGGCCUGCUUGGAUGUCCCCACGUUUAUCAUCUACCCCAAGUGUUUCCCCAGUGGCCACUACACACUGGGAGGCCCCCCUCUCCCGAAGCCUUGUAUGGACGGUCAAACAGUGGCUACAUUGAUGGGGACCUGUUCAGGAAGUGGUUUUCAGCACUUCAUUAAGCAUGCAGUGAAGGAGCGCCCUCUCCUUCUCCUCUUUGAUGGGCACAAGAGCCACAUGGAACCGGAGGUGCUCGCGGCGAAGGGGUUAUACUAUAUUGUCUUCCACCACACUGCACCCAUGUCCUGCAGCCGCUGGAUGUGGCAUACUUUGGCCCUUAAAAGGCUGAGUUCUCCAAGGUAGCUAGAGGCCUUAGCCAUUUUGACAACUCCUACAUGGUAAACAAAUCAGAAUUUUCCAGAGUAUUCCGCUACCCGUACCAGUGCUUCAAGGACAUGUGCUAUGUGGUGGAAGGGUUUAAGAAGUAUGACCUGUUCCUUUUUGACCCUUCAGCCAUUGAAGGGUCCCGUUUAAUGCCGUAUCGGUCCCUACCGGGUCCCACCACCACCUCUCCUGGAACCAGCAGUACUGUGCCGUCCAUCAGCACCUCCUCCCCAGUGACCACAUGAGGACCCUCAGCCCAUGUUCCAGUCCCAGUCCCUGCUCCAGUCUCAGCUCUAGUCCUAGCUCUAGAAGAGCACCCUCUAAUAGAGGGGGGGCUGAUAGCGAAGGACCUGGGGCACAUCCUUACUGUCCUGAAGUAUCGGCUAGACCGAAACAGAAGAUUCCCUAUGGUCGCUACAUGCCUCACCGGGGAGGAAUACACGCGCCAGUGGCAGGAGAGGGAUGAGAAGGAGAGGGCCGAGGCAGAGGAGAAAGAGCUGCCAUGGAUGAGACCAUUGACGCAAUUGCCUCUGCUGGACUCUCAGUAAUAAGAGAGAGUAAUCGAUACUGUCACAGUAACAAAGCAAAGAAAUG
rnacentral:lncRNA from 1 species